rnacentral:rRNA from 1 species
AGAGAAUAGGCCCAAGCGACUGUUUACCAAAAACAUAGGUUUCUGCUAAGUCGCAAGACGAUGUAUAGGAGCUGACGCCUGCCCGGUGCUGGAAGGUUAAGGGGAUCUGUUAGAGUAAUCGAAGCAGUGAACUUAAGCCCCAGUAAACGGCGGCCGUAACUAUAACGGUCCUAAGGUAGCGAAAUUCCUUGUCGGGUAAGUUCCGACCCGCACGAAAGGCGUAACGAUUUGGGCACUGUCUCAACAACAGACUCGGUGAAAUUGUAAUUCCGGUGAAGAUGCCGGAUACCUGCGACAGGACGGAAAGACCCCAUGGAGCUUUACUGUAGCUUGACAUUGGGUCUUGGUACUACAUGUACAGGAUAGGUGGGAGGCUUUGAAACCAGGACGCCAGUUUUGGCGGAGCCAUCCUUGGGAUACCACCCUUGUAGUACUGGGACUCUAACCAUAGGCCAUGAAUCUGGUCUUGGGACACUGUCAGGUGGGCAGUUUGACUGGGGCGGUCGCCUCCCAAAAGGUAACGGAGGCGCUCAAAGGUUCUCUCAGUACGGUCGGAAAUCGUACGUAGAGUGUAAAGGCAAAAGAGAGCUUGAUUGCAAGACAUACAGGUCGAGCAAGGAUGAAAAUCGGACUUAGUGAUCCGGUGGUUCUGCGUGGAAGGGCCAUCGCUCAACGGAUAAAAGCUACCCUGGGGAUAACAGGCUUAUCUCCCCCAAGAGUCCACAUCGACGGGGAGGUUUGGCACCUCGAUGUCGGCUCAUCACAUCCUGGGGCUGUAGUAGGUCCCAAGGGUUGGGCUGUUCGCCCAUUAAAGUGGUACGCGAGCUGGGUUCAGAACGUCGUGAGACAGUUCGGUCCCUAUCCGUCGCAGGCGUAGGAAAUUUGAGAAGACCUGUCCUUAGUACGAGAGGACCGGGAUGGACGUACCUCUGGUGUACCAGUUGUCCUGCCAAGGGCAUGGCUGGGUAGCUAUGUACGGAAUGGAUAAGCGCUGAAAGCAUCUAAGCGCGAAGCCAACUUCAAGAUAAGAUUUCCCACCGCAAGGGUAAGACCCCAGAAAGACUAUCUGGUUGAUAGGUCGAAGGUGUAAGUGCAGCAAUGUAUUUAGCUUAUCGAUACUAAUAG